CUACCUGCCUGCCUCCUGCCUGCGGUCAGUCUGUGAUGAGAGUUGGAUUGGAGAGGAGCAGCAGGAGAGUUGAGAAUUGAAGUCGAGACGAGUCGCGGAAGUGAGAGAAUCUAGUAGUGAGAGAUAGUGAAGUGACCUGAGUCGGAGAGUUCGUUUUAGAGCGCGAGUGUGGACUUGAGACAGGGUGCGGUGUGGUGCGGUGGGAGUGAGAGGGACAGGAAAGCGUGGACGCGAAUUUGAAGAGCUUGUGUCGUGCGUGUUUAUGUGCCAAGCGAACUGUUUAUUUGGAGUUAUACAUCAAGUGCUUUCUAGCGUGAAGUGAAGUGCUUUGGAUAUAUGUGCGGGUGAGUUUUAGAGUCGGUUGAGUCAGUCGUAAGGCAGCGCGGUAAAAACAGCGGGCUUCAGGGAGGGCGUGAGGCGUGCGUCCGAAACGCACCACCAAGCCUGCACCCCGUGUACUACGAGAAGAGAGACAUCGGGGCUAGAAAGUAAUCCGGGAGCGAGCGGACGCACCCUCCACCGCCUGCAGUGCAUGGGACAUGUAGCCCGCGCGACGGCCCUGCCCGCCACCUGAGCCAUACUGCUUACCUCCCUGCACACAUCGCCCGCACGGGGGUACGUGGGGUGACGCCCGCGCCUGCUGGACCAAGUGAAAGUGAAAAUGGACGUCGCGCGCGCGCGGCACCUCGGCGUGAACAACGGGAGAGAGGCGCCCCCGGACCGGACGGCGUGGCGCGCCGCCACCAAGCGCAUCCUGGACUUCGCCGACCCCCACAAAGAGCGGUUCGAUCACAAGAAGGCGCGGCGAGCAGCAAAGGAACGCAGCGAGAGAGGCAGCGAGGGACGACGCCGACGACCCCCCCCCCGGCGUAAAGGUCCGGCUGCACUGUCCCAAAUGUGCUGGUCGCUUCUCUUUCCCAAGACCGAAGUGGGGUGGGGGUGGGGGGUAAUUAUUAUGUCUAAAGAAACGGAUGAGGUCUUGCUGCAACAACCCCGUACUAGCAACUAGCUAGUUAAUUAGUCAAAACAGCAUUCUUUGAUUGGCUAUCCGAAAAUAUUAACUUGCUGUUACAAUCCUGAGAUGUGCACAUUGCGGUGUCGGAUGCCUUAGAUUGUUUCAGGGUGUUAAUCUGAUACUGAUAACAAGGGAAACUGACAAAUAUGUCACGGUUUUCGAGUACGACAUGACCAACGGGUGCUGUGAGCAAAGAUGCACCGUGUCUGGUCCCAUAAAUUGAGGCUCUAUCAUCCUAAGAAUCUUAACAUCUUAACAUAUCAACACAUGCAGUUUUCGUUGUAUUUGGAACUAUGGCCCUGGUUCAAUAAAACCAUAAACCACGACGCUGUCGGACGUUUUAGCGAUGCCGGAUAAUUUUGUCGGCAUUAGAGAACAAAACGACAUUAAAAUGUAAAACCAUAAUCACACUAUCAAAUAUAAUGCAAAAUUUGAUGUCAACAUGUUGAGAUGUUAAAAUCCUUAAGCUGAUGGAGCCUGAUUUGGUUGGAACGGGAAUGAUUGUUGAUACGCUUUCGAAUACCGCAGAGCGUGACAAGCAAUUGAUUUAAUCGCAAACUAUGAUUAUAUCUUUCUAAUUUAUUAUUAAUGAUACCAGAAAUCAAAUCAUAUUUAGAACAGAACCAUACAAUAUUUUUGUCAUUUAAGAUUAUACUUUCAAAUAUGAUCAUAUUAUGAUUUUCUAAUACUUGCAUUAUCACUUUUUUUACUUUUUCUAAAAACUCUGAAAGUGGUAAAUUCGUACCAUCAAACAUAUUUAUGGAUCUUAAAUGUGAAAAAUGAAAUAGAUUUAAUGUUAAUUGG